UACGUAGGGACCAAGCGUUGUUCGGAUUUACUGGGCGUAAAGGGCGCGUAGGCGGCGUGGUAAGUCACUUGUGAAAUCUCUGAGCUUAACUCAGAACGGCCAAGUGAUACUGCUGUGCUAGAGUGCAGAAGGGGCAAUCGGAAUUCUUGGUGUAGCGGUGAAAUGCGUAGAUAUCAAGAGGAACACCCGUGGAGGUGAAGACGGGUUGCUGGGCUGACACUGACGCUGAUGCGCGAAAGCUAGGGGAGCAAACGGG
rnacentral:rRNA from 1 species